rnacentral:rRNA from 1 species
AACGAGCGCAACCCCUACUUGCUAGUUACCAUCAUUAAGUUGGGGACUCUAGCGAGACUGCCAGUGAUAACUGGAGGAAGGGUGGGGAUGACGUCAAAUCAUCAUGCCCCUUAUGACCUGGGCUACAAACGUGAUACAAUGGCUGGAACAAAGGGAUGCGAAGCAGUGAUGUGGAGCGAAACCCAUAAAAACAGUCUCAGUUCGGAUUGAAGUCUGCAACUCGACUUCGUGAAGUCGGAAUCGCUAGUAAUCGCGGAUCAGAACGCCGCGGUGAAUACGUUCUCGGGGUUU